rnacentral:rRNA from 1 species
GGGUUGUGAGGUUAAGCGACUAAGCGUACACGGUGGAUGCCCUGGCAGUCAGAGGCGAUGAAGGACGUGCUAAUCUGCGAUAAGCGUCGGUAAGGUGAUAUGAACCGUUAUAACCGGCGAUUUCCGAAUGGGGAAACCCAGUGUGUUUCGACACACUAUCAUUAACUGAAUCCAUAGGUUAAUGAGGCGAACCGGGGGAACUGAAACAUCUAAGUACCCCGAGGAAAAGAAAUCAACCGAGAUUCCCCCAGUAGCGGCGAGCGAACGGGGAGCAGCCCAGAGCCUGAAUCAGUGUGUGUGUUAGUGGAAGCGUCUGGAAAGGCGCGCGAUACAGGGUGACAGCCCCGUACACAAAAAUGCACAUACUGUGAGCUCGAUGAGUAGGGCGGGACACGUGGUAUCCUGUCUGAAUAUGGGGGGACCAUCCUCCAAGGCUAAAUACUCCUGACUGACCGAUAGUGAACCAGUACCGUGAGGGAAAGGCGAAAAGAACCCCGGCGAGGGGAGUGAAAAAGAACCUGAAACCGUGUACGUACAAGCAGUGGGAGCCUCUUUUAUGGGGUGACUGCGUACCUUUUGUAUAAUGGGUCAGCGACUUAUAUUCUGUAGCAAGGUUAACCGAAUAGGGGAGCCGAAGGGAAACCGAGUCUUAACCGGGCGUUAAGUUGCAGGGUAUAGACCCGAAACCCGGUGAUCUAGCCAUGGGCAGGUUGAAGGUUGGGUAACACUAACUGGAGGACCGAACCGACUAAUGUUGAAAAAUUAGCGGAUGACUUGUGGCUGGGGGUGAAAGGCCAAUCAAACCGGGAGAUAGCUGGUUCUCCCCGAAAGCUAUUUAGGUAGCGCCUCGUGAAUUCAUCUCCGGGGGUAGAGCACUGUUUCGGCAAGGGGGUCAUCCCGACUUACCAACCCGAUGCAAACUGCGAAUACCGGAGAAUGUUAUCACGGGAGACACACGGCGGGUGCUAACGUCCGUCGUGAAGAGGGAAACAACCCAGACCGCCAGCUAAGGUCCCAAAGUCAUGGUUAAGUGGGAAACGAUGUGGGAAGGCCCAGACAGCCAGGAUGUUGGCUUAGAAGCAGCCAUCAUUUAAAGAAAGCGUAAUAGCUCACUGGUCGAGUCGGCCUGCGCGGAAGAUGUAACGGGGCUAAACAAUGCACCGAAGCUGCGGCAGCGACACUGUGUGUUGUUGGGUAGGGGAGCGUUCUGUAAGCCUGUGAAGGUGUACUGUAAGGUAUGCUGGAGGUAUCAGAAGUGCGAAUGCUGACAUAAGUAACGAUAAAGCGGGUGAAAAGCCCGCUCGCCGGAAGACCAAGGGUUCCUGUCCAACGUUAAUCGGGGCA